rnacentral:rRNA from 1 species
UACGAAGGGGGCUAGCGUUGUUCGGAAUCACUGGGCGUAAAGCGCACGUAGGCGGAUUUGUAAGUCAGGGGUGAAAUCCCGGGGCUCAACCUCGGAACUGCCUUUGAUACUGCGAGUCUCGAGUCCGGAAGAGGUGAGUGGAAUUCCUAGUGUAGAGGUGAAAUUCGUAGAUAUUAGGAAGAACACCAGUGGCGAAGGCGGCUCACUGGUCCGGUACUGACGCUGAGGUGCGAAAUCGUGGGGAGCAAACAGG